CCUACGGGAGGCUGCAGUGGGGAAUAUUGGACAAUGGGGGGAACCCUGAUCCAGCGACGCCGCGUGAGUGAAGAAGUAUUUCGGUAUGUAAAGCUCUAUCAGCAGGGAAGAAAGAAAUGACGGUACCUGACUAAGAAGCCCCGGCUAACUACGUGCCAGCAGCCGCGGUAAUACGUAGGGGGCAAGCGUUAUCCGGAUUUACUGGGUGUAAAGGGAGCGUAGACGGCGAUGCAAGUCUGAAGUGAAAGGCGGGGGCCCAACCCCUGGACUGCUUUGGAAACUGUAUGGCUGGAGUGCAGGAGAGGUAAGUGGAAUUCCUAGUGUAGCGGUGAAAUGCGUAGAUAUCAGGAGGAACACCGGUGGCGAAGGCGGCCUGCUGGACUGCAACUGACGUUGAGGCCCGAAAGCGUGGGGAGCAAACAGGAUUAGAUACCCCGGUAGUC
rnacentral:rRNA from 1 species